UCAGUCGACUCCUACGGGGAGGCAGCAGUGGGGAAUAUUGCACAAUGGGGGAAACCCUGAUGCAGCCAUGCCGCGUGUGUGAAGAAGGCCUUCGGGUUGUAAAGCACUUUCAGUAGGGAGGAAGGUAGUGUAGCUAACACCUGCACUAUUUGACGUUACCUACAGAAGAAGCACCGGCUAACUCCGUGCCAGCAGCCGCGGUAAUACGGAGGGUGCGAGCGUUAAUCGGAAUUACUGGGCGUAAAGCGCAUGCAGGCGGCCUGUUAAGUCAGAUGUGAAAGCCCGGGGCUUAACCUCGGAAUUGCAUUUGAAACUGGAAGGCUAGAGUCUUGUAGAGGGGGGUAGGAAUUUCAGGUGUAGCGGUGAAAUAGCGUAGAGAUCUGAAGGAAUACCAGUGGCGAAGGCGGCCCCCUCGGACAAAGACUGACGCUCAGAUGCGAAAGCGUGGGGAGCAAACAGGAUUAGAUACCCUGGUAG
rnacentral:rRNA from 1 species